AUCAAUCGACAUUUUCUAUGGUUGGCAACGCGGCAAAUCAGCUGGGUUUUUGUCAGCCAUAUGCAUUCGAUUGUAAAUUUCGGCAGCCGGUUGCAUCUUGCAUUUCCUAUCUCAUCAUUACGCUGUCCACUUCUUCCGUAAAAACAACAUCGAAACAAAUAAACAAAAGAGUGCGUAGUGUAAAGCAAGAAAGGUAAUGAAAAGGUUUUUCCCAUUGUGAAAUGGCGAGUAGAAUUGGAGUUUUGCGUUGCGACGAGCAAUAAAUUAGGGCACAAGUGCUGAAAAUGCUCAGUUGGAUUACGAGCAUAAUUGUAGCCAGACGUACUAAAAGCUAAAAAGUACAAAAUUAGUUCUCGUAAAUAAACACCGCGGUCCACCGUUGUGAAAUAAAAACGGAAGUGCUACGAAAAAUUACUAUCGCACAAACAUUUUUUUGUCAAACACGAAAUUCAAGAGUCGAACGGAAACUUCUACAAGGCAAAGCUAAUUUGACUUCACAUCCAAAAGAAAAAAUUUAAAACUCGGCGAAAAUGUCCACUUUUGGCGCAGAGUUCGAACAAAUUUGGCCGAAAGCCGGCUCAGCUAUAAAAAUAACUGAAUUCGGCAAAAAAUUAUUGCACAAAUGCUUAGGAGUGGAGAAGCCAGACAGGAGUCAUAUCGAUAUUAAAAGUUUUAUCAAAAAAUCAUCCAACUUUCCUGUAGAGUUCGGCACCAAUACUUGUCGCGUUAUCAGUCAGCCCAAAGAGCGUUAUCCGGAAAUUCAGAAACAAAUCGAAUCUGCGUAUCCGAUAAUACACGAACGCGUUUUGGGCUUAUAUCUGGCAUUCUUGGAGCACAAAUGCAAAUAUGGCAAUAAACGCGAACUUGAACUCUAUCAAAACUUGUCACUCACCGAUUUUGUUCAACGCCUGCUGGCCAAGCGCUGUGUUAGUUUCUUUGGUAAAAACGAUAAAUAUCUUUUAUUAUCGCGACAUCGCGGUUGUAGUGGAUUCUUGGAUAUAGGCACCGAUGCAGAAAAGCCACCGCUAUUGUUGCAAGAUGUACUCAGCUAUGAUGAGAUUAAGCUCUCCGCUUUACUUUCUGUCUCCUCACAUACGGAAUUUCUCAACGACGGCAACCGUCAAAAUUGUGGGGUCAUUGAACUCAAUAAAUCACGCAUCGAAACAGAUGGCGUCGUCAUUGGUCUGAUUGGCGCACGAUUAGUACGACGCGAUGUAAUGGAAUUUCAGGAUAUCAUAAUUGCCAGCAAGCAAAAUACCAAAGAAAAUGGUUACGGCUUACCGACCGAUGCUGAAGCAAAUACGCGCUCAGCUGAUUAUCGACGCUUAUGGAAGCAGUUCUAUGAAGAGCGAGAUCACCUAUACGAGCAAGUAAAAGUGGACGGCAAACGUUUUGGCAAUGCACGCGCAAAGAACGACAUAUUUGAUAAUUUGCUUAUGAAGAAGCGCUAUACCAUCUCUUUUGAUACGCUGUUGUUGGAGAGUGAAGCGCGUGCUGCCGCGGCAGGCAAGCAAGCUUUUCUGCAUGUGGUGGGCAUAGGCUUGGGCGUGUGGCGUGCAGCUGAGCACCAGGAGAAAAUCUUUUUGGAGACAUUUGCGCAGCGGCUGAAAGUGUUGUUGCCAAAAUUGCCGCAUGUGAGCGUGGUGCACUUCUCUUGGUUUCAGCUGAGUGAGUGGGGUGAUUUGAAAAAUGGUGGCAUGUACAAAUCGGAAACACAUCCCGAUGGCGGUAUAAGGACUUUCUUGUCAAAACGUAAUCCGGCCGAUAAGCUGGUGAGCGUAAAGGGGGUAAUACAAUUUUUCAUUGUUAGCUUUAUUGUCAAGGGGAGAAAUCACCAGAACUAGAGAAUAUGUUGCUGAUCGUCUCCUAUGCAUGGGACGGCAAUGCCUUACCAGGCAACGAAUUUUGGAUGAAAAUGCUGAAGUCCACCGGCGACUCUUCCACUGCCUGUAGCACGCUUGUCACUGAACUGCAUAAUCCACAUAUUAAUACCGAGCUAGUGAAUGGUACAAAUUUGUACGUUGCUUCGGAGCAGUACGGCGUGUUGCAUAUUGCAGAUUACACGAAAAAGUUGUUGGAAUAAAGGCAAGCUUGUGGGAAUAGUUGAGGCACAUGACGAAUUGGACCAUCAUACAUGGAAAUAUUGUUUGAAGCUUUUUAAUAUUUAGUUAAAUUAUUUAUGUAUUUAUAUUGUGCAAUAACUAAUAAUUAAGUAAUAUUUAAAAUUAUUGUUUAGUUGCAUGGGCUCAAUAAAAACAUGAUUUAUUGGAAA
rnacentral:misc_RNA from 1 species